CCCCAGUGGUGUUUGGCGAGCACUCCCUCCUCGUCACCGUCUCGGGACAGAAACUCUUCGUGGUCAAGCGCCACCACCACGUGCAGGAGCCGGUGGCCGUGUGAGAAAUGUCCCCAGAGUGUCCCCAAAGUGUCCCCAAAGCGUCCCCAGAGGAGGAGGAGGUGGCAGCGCCGCCCUGUCCCCCCUCCUGCUGUCCCCAAAGUGUCCCCAAAUCCCCCCCGAGGGGACAAUAAAUGGCGUCCCAGGGUGGCUUUGGUGGCUUUGUGACCUCCUUGGGGACACCCGGGUGGCAUCAGGGGACAUCCAGGUGACAUCCAGGACACACCAGGGACAUCCAGGUGACACCAGGUGACAUCCAGGUCUCUUUAUUGGCAAUAAAUAACAGGGACAGAGGUGCCACCCUUGUCCCCAAUGUCCCCAACCCAGGGGUGGCACUGCAGGCCCCUCCCGUCCCCUCCCCCACUUUGGCUCGGGGACACUUCCCCGAUGUCCCCAAAUGUCCCCAAAAUCCCAAACGCGGGCACGGCUCCAGGCUGUGUCCUCAAGGUGUCCCCAAGGUCCCCUCCAUGGCACGUGGCAGUGGCAGUGACCCCCCCCCCAUUGUCCCCAAUGUCCCCAAAGUGUCCCCAAGGCUCUGGGGGUGGCUCUGUCCCCUUGGUCCCUGUCCCUGGCACAGUGGGGACACCGGGGGUGGCCUUGUCCCCAUUGUCCCCCUGUCCCCACUGUCCCAGAGCCAUUGCUGCCACUCUGGCAAUGUCCCCAAGGUCCCAACGUUGUCCCCAAGCUGUCCCCCACGAUGUCCCCAAGCUGUCCCCACACUGUCCCCUCCCUGUCCCCGCUGUCACUGCACGGGUGGCACCACGAGCACCUUGCACUCCCUCUUGGCGAUCUUGUCCAGGGCCAGCACGGCCUUGUCCCCCGCGGGCAGGUACAGGGGGCGGCCCACGGGGGAGCCCACGGGGGGCGUGAUGGCCCUGCGCUCCAUGA
rnacentral:lncRNA from 1 species